rnacentral:rRNA from 1 species
CACUGGCGGACGGGUGAGUAACGCGUGGGGAUCUGCCUCGGAGUGGGGGACAACCGCUGGAAACGGCGGCUAAUACCGCAUACGCCUUCCUGUUUAUUCAGGGGGGGAAAACUCCGGUGCUCUGAGAUGAUCCCGCGUCGGAUUAGCUUGUUGGUGGGGUAACGGCCUACCAAGGCGACGAUCCGUAGCUGGUCUGAGAGGAUGACCAGCCACACUGGAACUGAGACACGGUCCAG